rnacentral:rRNA from 1 species
UACGGAGGGUGCAAACGUUGCUCGGAAUCAUUGGGCGUAAAGCGCACGUAGGCGGCCCAGCAAGUCGGGUGUGAAAGCCCUCGGCUUAACCGAGGAAGUGCAUUCGAAACUACUGAGCUUGAAUACUGGAGAGGAUCGCGGAAUUCCCGGUGUAGAGGUGAAAUUCGUAGAUAUCUGGAGGAAUACCGGUGGCGAAGGCGGCAUCCUGGACCGACAUGACGCUGAGGAGCGAAAGCUAGGGGAGCAAACGGG